GACGAACGCUGGCGGCGUGCUUAACACAUGCAAGUCGAACGGAAAGGCCCUGCUUUUGUGGGGUGCUCGAGUGGCGAACGGGUGAGUAACACGUGAGUAACCUGCCCUUGACUUUGGGAUAACUUCAGGAAACUGGGGCUAAUACCGGAUAGGAGCUCCUGCUGCAUGGUGGGGGUUGGAAAGUUUCGGCGGUUGGGGAUGGACUCGCGGCUUAUCAGCUUGUUGGUGGGGUAGUGGCUUACCAAGGCUUUGACGGGUAGCCGGCCUGAGAGGGUGACCGGCAACAUUGGGACUGGGAUACAGCCCAGACUCCUACGGGAGGCAGAAGUGGGGAAUAUUGCAGAAUGGGAGGAAGCCUGAUGCAGCAACGCCGCGUGCGGGAUAACGGCCUUCGGGUUGUAAACCGCUUUCGCCUGUGACGAAGCGUGAGUGACGGUAAUGGGUAAAGCAGCACCGGCUAACUACGUG
rnacentral:rRNA from 1 species